rnacentral:sRNA from 1 species
GCACUUGAAAAAAACAAGUGUCAGCCGUGACAAGCUGAAAAAUACAAAGGCGAAUAAUCGCACGCCUCAAGCGUGUUUUUU